rnacentral:rRNA from 1 species
CUUCCGGCCUCUUUCCAUGCAGUCGACGGUAACAGGGAGCUUGCUCCGCUGACGAGUGGCGAACGGGUGAGUAAUGCGUCGGAACGUGCCGAGUAGUGGGGGAUAACGCAUCGAAAGGUGUGCUAAUACCGCAUACGUACUGAGGUAGAAAGUGGGGGACCUUCGGGCCUCACGCUAUUCGAGCGGCCGACGUCUGAUUAGCUAGUUGGUGAGGUAAAGGCUCACCAAGGCGACGAUCAGUAGCGGGUCUGAGAGGAUGAUCCGCCACACUGGGACUGAGACACGGCCCAGACUCCUACGGGAGGCAGCAGUGGGGAAUUUUGGACAAUGGGCGCAAGCCUGAUCCAGCCAUGCCGCGUGUCUGAAGAAGGCCUUCGGGUUGUAAAGGACUUUUGUCCGGGAGCAAAUGCUGGUGGCUAACAUCCACCGGAGCUGAGAGUACCGGACGAUUAAGCACCGGCUAACUACGUGCCAGCAGCCGCGGUAAUACAUAGGGUGCAAGCGUUUAUUCCGAAUUAUCGGACUAAAACCCUGCGCCCGCCGCUUGUGAAGCCCCACGUCAAAGCCCCGGGCUCAUCAUGGUACUGCGUUCGGCACACAAGACAAUAUGUGCAGAGCGGGGUGGAAUACGAGCUACCACGAAAGCGAUUAAAUGCGGUGGAGCGCGGAUGGCCAAGCAGCUACUGGGUAUGCUCGCACGCAUGCCUGAAGACGUGCGGGAGCUAUCGAGAUGAGAUGGCUCUAUCCCAGCUCCUACCAUCGUCAAUUAAUUUUUGGGAUCGAAACCAUGCAUACCGCACCUACCGGGAAAUGUAUGCGCUUGGAGUCCAGUCCAGGUCAAAAUCGAAACGAUAUAUCGGCUCGAUCAACACGGCCGAGUGAACUAUUCAUGCGCAAUCCGACAAAUC